ACCCAAAUAAUAAAAUUAGAGAUGAAAAUGGGAACAUCGUGACAGAAAUGAGCAAGAUUCAGAACAUUAUAAGGGAAGACUUUGCAAACCUUUAUGAUAACAAAUUGGAGAAUCUGGAAGAAAUGGAAAAAUUCCUCAACAACAUUAAAAU